AUUUGGCAGCGCCCGGGCUGCGCCGACCGCCGGCCCCGAGCCGCCGCGGGCUCCGAGGAGUCGGCCGAGCUGCUCCCGCGCCCUGGCCGGACGUUUGAAACUAUUGCUUUGCUGAAAACAUCUGACUGCCAGGCUAGGAUGUGACACUUAAGAGACUUACCAAUUUGGGAUUCUUCCAGGAGCUGAAAACUGAUUACAAAUAUGAAACAGAUUUCACUACAGGACUUGAACCCUACAUUAAAAAACAACAAGCUCCCCAAAAUAAUUGAAAAAGAUCUUCACCAAAGAGUAGCUGCAAUGUGAAUGGCAGGAUAUGAAGCAAGUAAGAGAUGGUGAAAAGAUUAUCUUAAGCUUGGAAUUAAGUGAUGAAAGGGACCUUCGAAAUUAUCAACUCUAAAUACUUCUUUACAGGAAAAUUGAAAGCAGUUAAGAACCUGCCCCCUACCGUGGAGUUCUUGGUGCCGUGAGUUGGAGUUCUUGGUGCCUGGGUGCGUCCCCAAGGCCACUGGUCUUCAGAUCUUUCUUACUUGAGAAGAACGCCUCCGCCUCCUGGCUCUCCCACCAGUGGUACUGCCACCACCACACACCAGCAUAAAGCACAGAUUGCUGCCCAGCUCCUUGGAGAGGGGCCAGUGCAUUUGUCAGGAAUUGAAAAGUUUUGGAGCCAGUUCGAGGACUUUCUGCUGCACAAAGUGUUGGCUGGAAGCAUGGUCACAGGAGAUGGAGGACUAGUACCCACGAGGGAAGGAGAUGACAUCUCAUAGGUGACGUCCUAGUCCCCUAUGGUGGGAAGAAGGAAAGAACUUAAUCUUCCCAUUUAUCAGGGAAAAAAAGGUU